rnacentral:rRNA from 1 species
AGUGAACGCUGGCGGCAGGCCUAAUACAUGCAAGUCGAACGAACACACGGUGAGCUUUCUCCUUUAACGUUAGCGACUGACGGGUGGGUAACACGUGGAUAACCUACUUAUAUUUCUUGGAUAACUACGUAAAACCGGUUCUACUAAUACAUAAUAUGAUCAACCGCAGAGAUCAAUAGUUCAACACGGCUUUCGUGUCACUUUUAGAUGGAUCCGUGCCGGAUUAGCUAGUUGGUAAGGUAACGGCUUACCAAGGCAACGAUGCGUAGCUGAUCUGAGAGGGUGAUCGGCCACACUGGAACUGAGACACGGUCCAGACUCCUACGGGAGGCAGCAGUAGGGAAUAUUGCACAAUGGGCGCAAGCCUGAUGGAGCAACACCGCGUGAGUGAUGAAGGCCUUCGGAUCGUAAAGCCCUUUUAUUAGGGAAGAAAAAAUGUGUAAGAAACUAUGGAUGUUUUGACGGUACCCAAAGAGAAAGCAACGGCUAACUACGUG